rnacentral:pre_miRNA from 1 species
AAUAGAUCACACCGUUGACUUUUUCUCACAUGUUUGAUCAUUCGUCUUAUUCAAAAAAUUUACGUAAUUAUAAUUUAUUUUGUUAUGAGUUGUUUUAUCACUCAUAGUACUUUAAGUGUGAUUUAUAUCUUAUACAUUUGUAUAAAAAUUUUAAAUAAGACGAAUAGUCAAACAUGUGAGAAAAAGUCAACUGUGUCAUCUAUU